UGUGCUGAGGGGCGUGGCUAUUGCUGAGGGCCUUGCCCAGCGCUGGAGUCCCAGAGUCACGAAAUCGCGGAAUUACGGAAUUUUUUUAGGUUGGGAAAAAGCUCUGAGGUCAUUGAAUCCAACCUGUCAAUGAACACCACUGUGGGGACAGCCCAUGGCAGUUCCAUCUUCCCUCAAGCACCUCCAGGGAUGGAGGCUCCACUGCCUCCCUGGGCAGCCCUUUCUGGGAAGGAAUUCCUCCUGAUGUCCAACCUAAACCUCCCCUGGCAUGGCUUAAGACUGUGAAAAAAAUCCCAAACUCGCCCACUGCUGUUCCCAUUCUAACAGUCUUUAAAAAUCAUCCUGUUAAUAUAAUCCAAAAACAGAUUAUUGCUAAUUUUUUACCCAUAUUGUGUUUCUAUUCCUUUCCCUCAACAGAGAAUUAUGCUCAAGAACAGUGUUUCUACCAGCUGAGACAACUUUUAGCAUUAAUUAAUACUACUAAAUCAAUAGUUUUAUUGCUGUUUUAUGAGUGGUAGGCUGUGGUAUUUCUAAGUAGGUAACAGUCUGCUCAAGUUUUUGCAUCUAAAAGAGUUUCUGAAAACAGGCAAAGGAGAUUUUUUGGUCCCAUGUGACACUGAACAAAGUGGCAUAUUCAUGUCAUAAAAACUGGUAAAUCCUUAACUGGUUUUUGAGACACAGCAGAGGACACAGAACCCUGACCUUCAAAGCAGCCUGGACCAUUUUUUUUCCACCAGAAUUUGGCAACACUGAUUAAUGUCCAGCACCAUCAGCACCAGGACUGAGUACAAGCUGCUGAAAGUUAUAAAGAUACAUAAAUCUCUACUCCAACAGAUAGUAAAGAAAGUAUUUUUUAAAAUCUCAAUAAUUAUCUCACUAUACAAGCUUUGGAAUGUUGAAGAAAAAAUAAAUUUUGGAAUCUGGCUAUAACUACUUCAAAGGACUCUACUGCUGCAACAAGCUGUUGGAGGAGCUCAGCCGUGCCUGUAACAUCACCCCUGGCACAGCUGAUCAUCACUUGUGAGCUGUGUCAGUACCUGGAAAUGGAGAGCCACGAGCCACUGCCCUAAAGAUCCUCUGAUAAAUAAAUUAUCCUCCCCAGCUGCUUCGUGGGAUUGCUCCUUCCAGUCGUUAAAGGAAAUGUGGUUCUUUAUUAACACCGAGCUGGAUUUUGUUUGUCAUCAUCACAGCCGUGCAGGUGUCUCUUUGUGGAUGGUGUUAAACAGCUCAGUUAACCCAUAAAAUCCCAUGCUCAACAAAGGGGGCUUUGUGCACUUAGCAGAGUGCAGGGGUGUGCUGUGAUUUCAGGGUGAGAGUGGGAGCAUCAGCUCAGAGAUUCAAGGGAGAAGUUUGGAGAAAUGCAGGCAUCUGUGUCCCAGGGAGAGAUUUGGAUUGGCAGCUUUCCAGCAACACAUGCCAUUGACAGAGUUUAAAUUUAUUUAGUGCCUGACAGCAGUACUUCAUUAAUUGCAGAAGCACUCCUUGUCUGAGCAUAUAAUCAGAAACAAGAUAGGCUCAUGGACAAUCUAAUCAAGCUCUGGGAUAAUUUGGGGAAGCUGGAAAGGACAGAGAGCUAUGAACAGUGUGCUUCAGAUUUGUCCAGAUCCUCUGGGGCUUUGGCUCUUCAUGUGGAACAGGACCACAGCUUCUCUGACAGAUUGUUUAUAACUUCUGGAAGUGAUUUUUCUGCUCUGGUGAACUUCACCACUCCUUCCAUUGUUUGGGAUAAGGCUCCAUUCCCAAGCUUUGCCUCUAUCAAAUCCAACAUUUGUACAUGCAGGGCUGUCUAUAAGGAAGGUUGGCUUCUAUCCUGAAGUUUUUCUGUGCAUUUUCAUUUAACUCUCAAGUGCAGAACUAAUUUGUCCAGUCCUUUUUCAGUGCUUGAAGCAAGUUCUGACCCUUUGAAAAGGACUAAUUUGGUUCACUACUUCCAAGGAGUUAUCUGUUAUUCUCCAGGGAGAGAACAAUGUGCCACGGUGUCCUCAGCUGCUUUAAACUCACAAUGUUCUCUGCUUCAGUCACUGUGAGCUCUUCAAGAACAGCAUGAACCUGGCAGUACUGACAGUACCCCGUGCUUUGUGCUUGAGGACCUUGGCGUGGCCUUUAACACCAAAACAGGCAUUUGGAGUUUGUGUUCCAAGUGUCAAAGCCAUUUUCUCUUUCCUUUCCAUUCCCACCUUUGUGCAUCAGCAGAUGUUCAGCGCAAAGCUGUCAGCUCUGUUACCCCAGAGCCAUAAGUGUUCAGCAUCCUACCCUGGAGUUGCACAGCUCAGUUCUCCUGCAAUCCUUUUCCUUGGAUUUCUCAGGGCAGGAAGGAGAUCCCAGUCAGGACCUGCCACUGCUGCAGGUGAACAACUUACCCUAAAACACCAAAACCCAUCUAAAAAUAUUUCAAGGGCAGAAUUCCUCAUAGCUGUUUGCUACUAUUAAAGAAUAAAGGAGCUGGGAAACCACUGAGGGUUUGAGGAACUUGAACACAGUAAUUCAAACACUGUUAUUAAAGUUUGCCAUUGAAAAUCUUCAUUAGGAUAUUGGUUUACUGUCUUCUGGCCUCAGUCAGGUUGAAUUAUGUUGUUUACCAUGGGGCAGAACCAUGACCAUGAGUAGAGAACUCUGUUGCUCAACUGCUUUGCAGCAUCCAGAUUUUUUUAAAAUGUGAUAUUGCUCAUCACACACUUGAGGGUGAAAAGAUUAAUUGCAACACUUUGCAUCAGCGUCAGGCUUACAAAGGAGGCAUCUGAACAGGGUUUCAGCUGAUGAAUAAAUAAUUAUGAGUCUAUUAGUAACCAAAUGGGUGACACACGUUAUUUAUUCCUGAGUCCAGCUGGCAACAGACAUCUCACGUCCAUGUGGUUAAACUCUUUUAUCUCUAAACAAGAGUGUGGGCAGCCCAGUUGCCCACUGGAAUAAUUCCUAGCCCAUAUUAUGCUCUAAAAUGUGACCAAGUAUUGUCUGGGACUGUGGUGGCUGACAUGGGGCAAAACCACACCAGGAACUGUGCAAACAGUUUCACAAGAGGCAGCAGAAGGAAAUGUCAAGCCUUGGGCUCUGGUGCAGUUUAGUUCUCAAUGUAGAAAGAGAUCUGAGUCUGAAGAUAUGUGUGGAAAAGUUUCCUUGGAGCCAACUGAACCUCUGGAUUAAACCUUUGGUUUGGGAUUGGUGAUGUUGAAAAUGCUGAGCAUGGAGUUGGUCAGUGCACCAACUCUCCUGAGCACUUCAUCAGUUCAUCAGCAUGAAUAUCCCUCUUUGUACCAAGUCCUGGGCUUUUACUUCUCCAUGGCAAACACGGAGAAAGGAUCUAUCAGGAUGCCUUUCAUGUUAUCUUUGCUGCUCUAGUUAACAGUCAGGUUUGCCUCUCUGCCUGGUUGGAAGGCUCAUCCCUUUCAGUGAUCUGAAAGUUCAAAGUUUGUCAUGUUUGGGAAUAUCCCAAGGGCCUACAUAGACAAAAUCCAUCAACUCCACACAGUAACAGGGAAUUCCAUGGCUGUGACAUCAACAGAUAAGAUACUGCAAGGUUCCCAUCUCCUUUGCCAGCAAGCACUUACCAUCAAGUUUAACAGCAAGGAACUCAUUUUCCACGAGCUCCAAACACACCAGUGAAAGUGUUGAAUUAAAGUGCUGGCCAUGAAAUGGGGAGUGGGGGAAGAAGGAAUGAGGACCUGCACCCUAAACAACACAGCUCAAGCAGGACCAAGUGCAAGGACCAGAGCAGCUCUCCCAGGGUACAUCCCCAGAUGAGGCUUCUCAGGUGCUUUUCCUUCUCACUUAGCAUUUCCUCCAACUGAGCAGUUUCCAGAGCAGCUUGACCCAAGCUCUCAGCUCCACUGUACCAGAGCUGGCCCUGAGCACAGACAGCUGAGU